CCUACGGGGGGCUGCAGUAGGGAAUAUUGGACAAUGGGCGCAAGCCUGAUCCAGCCAUCCCGCGUGAAGGAUUAAGGCCCUCUGGGUUGUAAACUUCUUUUCUUUGGGAAUAAAAACUCCGAUUCAUCGGAGCUUGAAGGUACCAGAGGAAUAAGCACCGGCUAACUCCGUGCCAGCAGCCGCGGUAAUACGGCGGGUGCAAGCGUUAUCCGGAUUCACUGGUGUGAAGGGGGCCGUGGAUGGCUUUGUAGAAAGCCCGGAGCUCAACUCCGGAACUGCCAUUGAUACUGCUUAGCUUGAAUCAGGUCGAGGUGGAUGGAAUAUUACAUGUAGCGGUGAAAUGCUUAGAUAUGUAAUAGAACACCGAUUGCGAAGGCAGUUCACUAGGCCUGUAUUGACACUGAGGCACGAAAGCGUGGGGAUCAAACAGGAUUAGAUACCCUAGUAAUC
rnacentral:rRNA from 1 species